rnacentral:rRNA from 1 species
AUUGAACGCUGGCGGCAUGCUUUACACAUGCAAGUCGAACGGUAACAGGCCUUCGGGUGCUGACGAGUGGCGAACGGGUGAGUAAUGCAUCGGAACGUACCCAGAGGUGGGGGAUAACGCAGCGAAAGCUGUGCUAAUACCGCAUGUGAUCUGAGGAUGAAAGCGGGGGACCGAGCAGCAAUGUUUGGCCUCGCGCCUUUGGAGCGGCCGAUGUCGGAUUAGCUAGUUGGUGGGGUAAAGGCCUACCAAGGCGACGAUCCGUAGCUGGUCUGAGAGGACGACCAGCCACACUGGGACUGAGACACGGCCCAGACUCCUACGGGAGGCAGCAGUGGGGAAUUUUGGACAAUGGGCGCAAGCCUGAUCCAGCAAUGCCGCGUGCGGGAAGAAGGCCUUCGGGUUGUAAACCGCUUUUGGCAGGAACGAAACGGUGUCCGCUAAUACCGGGCGCUAAUGACGGUACCUGCAGAAUAAGCACCGGCUAAGUACGUG